GAGGGUGAUCAGGCUGUGACUUCUGUUACCCCUAGAUGGCUCACUGAUUCAACUGUGUCCUUUCCAAAGCUCUGUAGUUGGUAAAAAGGAAGAUCUUUCCUAACAGAGGAGGGCCCGUCUCUGUCAAGGGUAUACGAGAAGCUUGUAUACUACUCUCACUCAGUCCCUCUGUGAAAGGUCUUCAGAUGUCACU
rnacentral:snRNA from 1 species